CAUAUUUGGUAUUUUUCCCAUGUUUUUUUUUAUUUUUAUAUUUUUUUUUUUACAAAAAGGGCAUAGAGUUUUUGUUAAGUCAUAUUGACAGAUAGACCUGAAGUUGAAUCACUGGUGUUAGGAAUAUUACCUUUUUAAGGCUCUAGUUACUUCACAUCAAAUAUUCUACUUUCAAAUUGUGUGUGGGGUGGAAAAUAUUCCAUAUUUGGUAUUUUUGGCAUGUUUUUAUAUUUUUAUUUUUUACAAAAAGGGCAUAGAGUUUUUGUUAAGUCAUAUUGACAGAUAUACCUAAAGUUGAAUCACUGGUGUUAGGAAUAUUACCCUUUUAAGGCUCUAGUUACUUCACAUAAAAUAUUCCAUAUUUGGUAUUUUUGCCAUGUUUUUUUUAAAUUUUAUUUUUUUUAAUAAAAAGGCAAUAAAAGAGUUUUUGUUAAGUCAUAUCGACAGAUAGACCUGAAGUUGAUCUAGAGAUUUAAGCGUUGAAUAAUAUUAAUAAUACAACUAAAAUAAACAAUAUUAUUUUUAAAAUUUUUAUGACUGAGACCCUUCCAAGUCAUUGCCACCACUUUUAAGGGGAGCCCUCAAGGAAAAAAAAAAAUCUAUAUGUUGUCGAAGUUAUAAAAGUUAAAUAUCAAAAUGCCCCCCGCAUGUUUUAGUUUCUCAGUGGAAAAAGUUUGGUAAAAAUGGGACUUUAUGCUUACUAAUUAAGUCCUUUAAAAGGAGGCACACCAAACAUUUUGGACCAGCUGUCAUAAACCACGUGACUCACCAGAUUGGUUGUCGUGAGUCACGUGACUAACACGAUUGGUUGUCGUGGGUCACGUGUCUUGCCCAGGAUAUGGCCUCCACACCGGCGGCGUGUCAGUUUCACAAAUUCCUCAGUCAAUUCACCAAAACGUCACCGUGGAGCUAUGGAGUCUGUUUAGCUGAUUGGAGAGCUAGCUUCCGCAGCGAGUGGGUCCAUGAUGAUGACUUCUGUUUUGUUUGAUCAGCCGUUUUACUGCCGUGUUACAGACACCGUUUGGAAACAAUUAAGACAACCAGUACCAGUGGCGUGCCAAAGAAAGAGAAGCCCAUCCAUCCAUUUGUCUCCCGUCCUAAUUAGCCGGGCCACGCUGACAGGAUGCUGACAGAGCACAUCAAACACACAGGCACUUUGGAGUGAAGGGAAGGCUGCUAGUGGACAGCAUGUGGAAGCUUGAAGGAGGGAUGUGAAGACGGGAGGAAUCAUGGAGGAAAGAAGAAGAUGGAAGUAGGAGUGGGUGUUGGAGGAGAUGGUGUGAUCAAACUACUUCUCUGCACACGUGAUUGUCGUCCUCCUGCAUCUUUACACCGCCAAUUUAAGAGUCACGCGGCUUUUACGACGCCAGAAAAGAACAUCUCGCCGCCAUAAAAGUCUCUGUGCACGUAAACGUGGCCGACGAAUCCGCAUCAAUAACACACGUCAUCCAUAGCAAUAUCAAUUGUAAUAAUAAUAUCAUCUUUCCAUAACUUGUAUUUCUUUUAUUAGUUUGGUUGAUUCUCUGCAUGGCGUGAGAAGAGGAAGUCAAAAUGAAGAAAUUGUGGAUGAGAGAGGAAAAGUCUCCUGGACAGUUUUUGGAUUUUUCAAAAAGGGACCGUAGUCAGACCAAUGUGGUUUGUAAAUGAUGCAAGGCAAGACCGCUAAUACCACACCACCUCAGCCGCGCUCACCCUUUAGAGCACAGCUGUAACUUCCUGCCACUAAACCUGCAGAAAAUAGUUUUUGUCAGGUUUCUCUGUAUGUUAUUUUUUCCACACUUUGCCCUAUUUUCUUACACUUUAUCAAGCAUUUCUUACAUAUUGCUAAUUAGUGCACCUUUGAUUUAACAACAACGUGUUCAAUUUGAUUUGACUAUUUUGUUGACAUUGAUUUAAACUACCUUAAAUUCUGUAAUACAAGCCCCAGUUU